rnacentral:tRNA from 1 species
GGUCGGUCGACGUGGGCGCCCCGCGGUCCCGGCGCGGUCCUGGGCGAGGGCGAGAUCGUCCCGUGGUUCCAGCCCAUCGUCGAUCUC